CCAUAUUAUAACCCCCUAAAUUUGGCAAAGGCAUUUUUGCGGUAAAAUCAGUCGAUCAACAGUGUAGUCGACGGUUCUAUGCCUUUCCCUCUUGAGUUGUCCGCUCAAGGGUACCUUGUCUAGCACUUCAAAAGUAGAAUUCUUACUCUAUUUAAUUGUUCAUGCAUCAUGGUCAAACAUAACCAAUUCAGUUAUAUUGUCCGCAUAAUGACUCAUUAGGAUAGCCUAAACCAAAGUCCAUCGGGUUUCCUCGAAACCAAAACGGACAUUCACGUUACGUGCAUUGAUUUGGAGAACUAAAUGCCUCUUGCUAAUUAUUGAU
rnacentral:lncRNA from 1 species